UCUGGGACAAGCCUUGGAAACGAGGUCUAAUACCGGAUAACACUCCCAUUCUCCUGGAUGGGGGUUAAAAGCUCCGGCGGUGAAGGAUGAGCCCGCGGCCUAUCAGCUUGUUGGUGAGGUAAUGGCUCACCAAGGCGACGACGGGUAGCCGGCCUGAGAGGGCGACCGGCCACACUGGGACUGAGACACGGCCCAGACUCCUACGGGAGGCAGCAGUGGGGAAUAUUGCACAAUGGGCGAAAGCCUGAUGCAGCGACGCCGCGUGAGGGAUGACGGCCUUCGGGUUGUAAACCUCUUUCAGCAGGGAAGAAGCGAAAGUGACGGUACCUGCAGAAGAAGCGCCGGCUAACUACGUGCCAGCAGCCGCGGUAAUACGUAGGGCGCAAGCGUUGUCCGGAAUUAUUGGGCGUAAAGAGCUCGUAGGCGGCUUGUCACGUCGAUUGUGAAAGCUCGGGGCUUAACCCCGAGUCUGCAGUCGAUACGGGCUAGCUAGAGUGUGGUAGGGGAGAUCGGAAUUCCUGGUGUAGCGGUGAAAUGCGCAGAUAUCAGGAGGAACACCGGUGGCGAAGGCGGAUCUCUGGGCCAUUACUGACGCUGAGGAGCGAAAGCGUGGGGAGCGAACAGGAUUAGAUACCCUGGUAGUCCACGCCGUAAACGGUGGGCACUAGGUGUGGGCAACAUUCCACGUUGUCCGCGCCGCAGCUAACGCAUUAAGUGCCCCGCCUGG
rnacentral:rRNA from 1 species